rnacentral:rRNA from 1 species
AAUCAAGUGCCUUAAGGGUGUUCGGUGGAUGCCUUGGCGCUGAGAGGCGAUGAAGGACGUGCUACGCUGCGAUAAGCCGUGGGGAGCUGCGAAGAAGCUUUGAUCCAUGGAUUUCCGAAUGGGGAAACCCACCUUCGAUAGCCGGAACUCCAAGACCUUUGUCGAAAGACAUCGGUGUGGGGUUCGACCAGAUAAUGGAAGAAGCCAGGCCUUUAGAUUUCGAUCGAAGAGGUUUUGGAUUUCCGGUUAUCAAUUGGAGGUAUGAGACUUCUGAAUACAUAGGAGGUUUCAAGCAAACCCAGGGAACUGAAACAUCUAAGUACCUGGAGGAAAGGACAUCAACAGAGACUCCGUUAGUAGUGGCGAGCGAACGCGGACCAGGCC